rnacentral:rRNA from 1 species
UACGUAGGGUGCAAGCGUUGUCCGGAAUUAUUGGGCGUAAAGAGCUCGUAGGCGGUUUGUCGCGUCUGCUGUGAAAUCUGGGGGCUCAACCCCCAGCCUGCAGUGGGUACGGGCAGACUAGAGUGCGGGUAGGGGAGACUGGAAUUCCUGGUGUAGCGGUGAAAUGCGCAGAGUAUCAGGAGGAACACCGGUGGGCGAAGGCGGGUCUCUGGGC